rnacentral:rRNA from 1 species
GACGAACGCUGGCGGCGUGCUUAACACAUGCAAGUCGAACGGAAAGGCCCUGCUUUUGUGGGGUGCUCGAGUGGCGAACGGGUGAGUAACAAGUGAGUAACCUGCCCUUGACUUUGGGAUAACUUCAGGAAACUGGGGCUAAUACCGGAUAGGAGCUCCUGCUGCAUGGUGGGGGUUGGAAAGUUUCGGCGGGUGGGGAUGGACUCGCGGCUUAUCAGCGUGUUGGUGGGGUAGUGGCUUACCAAGGCUUUGACGGGUAGCCGGCCUGAGAGGGUGACCGGCCACAUUGGGACUGAGAUACGGCCCAGACUCCUACGGGAGGCAGCAGUGGGGAAUAUUGCACAAUGGGCGGAAGCCUGAUGCAGCAACGCCGCGUGCGGGAUGACGGCCUUCGGGUUGUAAACCGCUUUCGCCUGUGACGAAGCGUGAGUGACGGUAAUGGGUAAAGAAGCACCGGCUAACUACGUG